UUUAACAUGAUGGACUAUAGGACAGGACUGCUGCUUUUAACUCUCUGCUGGGCAGGUGUCGAUGGUCAGACUCUGACAGAAUCUGAACCAGUGGUUAAAAGGCCUGGAGAAUCUCACAGAUUGACCUGUACAGCCUCUGGAUUCACAUUCAGUGACUACUGGAUGGCCUGGGUCAGACAGGCUCCUGGAAAAGGACUGGAGUGGAUCGCUUAUAUCAGCAAUGGUGGUAGCAGCCAAUACUACUCUCAGUCAGUCCAAGGUCGGUUUACCAUCUCCAGAGACAACAGCAGACAGCAGCUGUAUCUGCAGAUGAACAGUCUGAAGACUGAAGAUUCUGCUGUUUAUUAUUGUGCUCGAGACUCACAGUGACUGGAGUUGGUUGAGCAGCUGUACAAAAUCCUACAGCACUCAUCGCUCAGGCUGGUAGAGCCCAAACGUGAAGU